GUGGGCUCCUCCCCCUGCGAUGGGAGCAUCCCCUCCGCCGGGGCUGCGUCGGUCUGUCCCGUCUGGGUCUGUCGGUCCGCAGAGCCGUGCAGAGGGAUCCCCUCGCAGCACCAGGUGGCACUCUCGGACUUCAAACCGAGCCGGGACAACGCAGCCGACCGCCGCAGACGCGCGUGGGAGCGUGCGGGGCCGCGCCGGGUCCCCACACCCGGCCGGGGGGCAGCGGGGAUGGAACGAUGGGCACAGCCACGUGUGCCACGUGUGCGUGGGCCGCAAAGGCCCUCCGUCCGUCCUCCCACCACUCAGCCAAAAUGGAGCUCGCACCCGCCGCGGUCCCCGCGCUCCGCAGGCGCUGAAGCACGGGUUGUGCACCCACGUGUCGCUUAACUGUCCCGAGGAUGCGUGACUGAGCGGGAUUGCUAUGCUCCGGCCGGCCCUGGGUUUUCCAGAAGCAGAGCAGCCACUGGUGGCUUUGGGAGAAGCCAGGCAGAGAUGGGAGCAAACGGAGCAGGAAUGCCUGGAGAAGGUUGAGAUGCGGCACCCGCAGAGGUGGGAGUAGCCCCAUGGAGCCACACUGCCACUGUCCUGCAGGAGACAUCAGUGCUUCCCCUCUGCCGUGCCCAACCUUCACAGGACCCCUGUGCUUCAGCUUCCUCCUCUUCUUUCUCUCGUGUUCAUCAUUCAUGUGCACACUGCAUUUCCUUUCUGCUUUCUCCCUUUUCUGUUCCUUGGAGAAGGCCCUCUGUGUUUCACCACCCUGAUGGGGCAGACAGGUUUUGUUCGAGUUGGUUUCAAUUGAACAUUUUGUGUGAAUGAGCUCUUCUCGCUUCUCCCUCUGUGCUCUCAGGUUCCCUUAUUAAACAGUUCUCUG
ensembl:lncRNA